UGAUAAUCAUUAUGAGAACUGCUGUGCCAACCAUUCAUCCAUCCAAACCAUCUGUCCCAGGUGUCAGUGACCCCUGAAUUCAUUUUUAAUUCAUCUGAAAGGCUGUCUAUUUUCUUUAUAGCCAUAGUCACCUUACCAUUGGGCCCAGUGUUAUCUGGAAUAAAUGUGCAGCAUGUCAUGGUUUCGGGGAGGAUUUUACAUACGCC